UUGUUUUCUUUUUGGGGUCCUGUUCUUUCGCGUCGGCAAGUAUCAAGGGGACGUCGGCUUCUGGUACGGUCUGGAGCAGACGUGUAGCUCGUGUGUUAUAAUAUAGUAAAGUUUAGACGUUGUGGGAUGGUUGCAUCAUCCCACACGCAUAUUCCUUGAGUAAUAGAUCUCAUGCGCUUACCACAACAACAACAACAAGCAUCAUAAAACAAACUGUGCCGAACCUACCUCAGCUAGUCGGGAUACAAGUGCAAAAAGAGAAAUGCUGACUCCUAUGCCACAACUUGCGGAACCAAAGGCCGAGAAACGCUGCUGUACGGGACUCUGUUUACAAGUGUCGACUUCCUGAGAUUUUCAAGAUAAGAUACCAAGUUCUACACCCAUACAAAGUAAGAGGAAAUCAUUCAUACAGUACAGAAAUGGCACUCUUGAACGUGGUACAGCUAUUACUUUGCUGAAGUACUAUGUUACGCCAUCAAGACAUGGGAGACGAGGAGGUAAAGCUCCACGCAUUUUCGCCUCGGAACCAGAAGUGGGAGUUUGCGGUAAAACAGUCCCUAGUAUCAAUUGAAUAAAAUACUUGGAUGGCCGCGGGGCGUCUUUGAUGUACCGUUGAAGAGAACAACCCAUACACCUGCCGGAAAUCAUUAAUGUAGUUCAAUUUGUAACAGUCUUCUUAAAAGUUUGAACAUGUCUUUAAAGUUAGUAAAUAAAUUAGUCCAAAAAAUAAAAAAAAAUUGCCGCGUGACUAAAUAUCGCAAUAAGUUA